rnacentral:rRNA from 1 species
AGAUUGAACGCUGGCGGCAUGCCUUACACAUGCAAGUCGAACGGCAGCACGGGAGCAAUCCUGGUGGCGAGUGGCGAACGGGUGAGUAAUACAUCGGAACGUGCCCAAUCGUGGGGGAUAACGCAGCGAAAGCUGUGCUAAUACCGCAUAAGAUCUACGGAUGAAAGCAGGGGAUCGCAAGACCUUGCGCGAAUGGAGCGGCCGAUGGCAGAUUAGGUAGUUGGUGAGGUAAAGGCUCACCAAGCCUUCGAUCUGUAGCUGGUCUGAGAGGACGACCAGCCACACUGGGACUGAGACACGGCCCAGACUCCUACGGGAGCAGCAGUGGGGAAUUUUGGACAAUGGGCGCAAGCCUGAUCCAGCAAUGCCGCGUGCAGGAGAAGGCUGGUUGUAACUGCUUUGUACGACGAACGGUCUAGGUUAAUACCUCGGCUAAUGACGGUACCGUAAGAAUAAGCACCGGCUAACUACGU